UACAGAGGGUGCAAGCGUUGUUCGGAAUUAUUGGGCGUAAAGCGCGUGUAGGCGGCUUUGCAAGUCGGGUGUGAAAGCCCUCAGCUCAACUGAGGAAGUGCGCCCGAAACUGCAGAGCUUGAGUGCCGGAGAGGGUGGCGGAAUUCCAGGUGUAGCGGUGAAAUGCGUAGAUAUCUGGAGGAACACCGGUGGCGAAGGCGGCAUCCUGGACCGACACUGACACUGAGGAGCGAAAGCCAGGGGAGCAAACAGG
rnacentral:rRNA from 1 species